CCCUUAGAUGUUCUGGGCCGCACGCGCGCUACACUGAUGCAUUCAACGAGUUCCUACCUUGGCCGAGAGGCCUGGGCAAUCUUUUGAACUUGCAUCGUGAUAGGGAUAGAUUAUUGCAAUUAUUAAUCUUGAACGAGGAAUUCCUAGUAAACGCAGAUCAUCAAUCUGCAUUGAUUACGUCCCUGCCCUUUGUACACACCGCCCGUCGCACCUACCGAUUGAAUAGUCCGGUGAAGCCUCGGGAUUGUGGUUAGUUUCCUUCAUUGGAAGUUAGCCGCGAGAACUUGUCUAAACCUUAUCAUUUAGAGGAAGGUGAAGUCGUAACA
rnacentral:rRNA from 1 species